rnacentral:rRNA from 1 species
CUACGGGGUGCUGCAGUGGGGAAUAUUGCACAAUGGACGAAAGUCUGAUGCAGCAACGCCGCGUGGAGGAUGACACAUUUCGGUGCGUAAACUCCUUUUAUAUAAGAAGAUAAUGACGGUAUUAUAUGAAUAAGCACCGGCUAACUCCGUGCCAGCAGCCGCGGUAAUACGGAGGGUGCAAGCGUUACUCGGAAUCACUGGGCGGAAAGAGCGUGUAGGCGGAUAGAUAAGUUGGAAGUGAAAUCCUAUGGCUCAACCAUAGAACUGCUUCCAAAACUGUCUAUCUAGAAUAUGGGAGAGGUAGAUGGAAUUUCUGGUGUAGGGGUAAAAUCCGUAGAGAUCAGAAGGAGUACCGAUUGCGAAGGCGUUCUACUGGAACAUUAUUGACGCUGAGACGCGAAAGCGUGGGGAGCAAACAGGAUUAGAUACCCCAGUAGUC